GUGUGUGUAUGUGUGUGUGUGUGAGCGAGAGAGAGAGAGGAGAAAGGAAAAUGGGAAGAAAGCAUGAUUUUGAAAAGGAGGGCGAGGGAUGUAGGAUGAGUGAGAGGGGAGAGAAAGAUAUAUAGAGGAAGGGAGAGGGAAGGAAAAAAGAGGGGAAGGGAGAAAGAGACUAAGGGGAGAUAAGCGUGUGAUAGAGAGAGAAAAAGAAAGUGAGAAGAAAUAGGAGAUAAAGACAAAUUGGAGGGUGCGAGAAAAGGAGAUGAAAGAGAGGGAGAGGAAAGCGUGAUAUUGAAAGAGAAAGUUGGGGAUAUGAAACUGAACAAUUACUAUUAUAAUUUUCAUCAUCAUUAUCGUUGUUGUUAAUGUUAUUUUUGUUGUUGUUUUCGCCACGUCAGUCAACCCCAUUAUAUGAUGUGAAGGAUUUAUGAGACUGAACACCCUAAUCCUCUUUCCUUAUUAACUCCAAGAAGAUUAUAGAGAGAGUUUCCGAUCCCCUUCCUUGACCUUGCCUCGCCUCCCCUCCCCUCGGAACACCUGCGUGGCUUAUAAACAGGUGGAGGUGAACGUGACGGGUUGGUUGAUUAGGUUGGGUAGGUUGGGUAGGUUAGGCUGAUCGGUUUGGUUAGUUAGGUUGGUUAGGUUAGGUUAGAUUGUUUAGGUUGGUUGGGUUGGUUAGGUUGGUUAGGUUAGGUUAGGUAAGUUAGGUUGGUUAGGUUAGGUUAGGUUGGUUAGAUUGGUUGGGUAAGUUAGGUUGAUUGUGUAGGUUGAUUAGUUUCGGUUAGGUUGGUUGGGAAAGUUAGGUUAAUGUUAAGUUAGCAUCAUUAAAAAAAUAUCCAUUCAACUACAUAAAGCAUACUUCCAUUGUAUAUUUUUAUCGACAAACAGCGUGAAAGCAUCUUGUAAGCCCUGAAUUGAGUCGCUAAUUGAUAGAUCUUCCUUCAUUAACUUCAUCAGAUACCUAUUUUUACGGCAAAGGGAGCAGCUCAAGGGACAAAAAACAGUGAGAACAUAAAAGCUCGUCUUGUGUAUCCGAAGAGAGGAAACCACACUCACCCUCGGCUUCCUCGGGAUCAUAAUAUCAUGCGUAUAAAGGAAGAGACUUUUUGCCUCCUUUGAGAUGCGUUGCGGGUACCAAGCGGGAAAAAGCGGCUGGUUUGCAUAAGAGUUCUUCCCGCGGUGAGGAGGAAAAAUCUCUUGCAGCAAAAUGAGAUGGAAAUGAGUUCGAUGUUUUAAAAGAGGGAAGAAAGAUUAAUGGAAACUGAUCCUAUUUUACGUUAGACAAGCAGGAGGAGAGUUUUCAGAAAGGAAAUAGGGAAAACUAGAUGUAAGAGAACCCAUAAUAGCUUAGGUACUCAUUAGAAAGAUGGAAAUGAGUCUUGUGUUUUAAAAGGGGGAGCGAAAACUGAUCUUGAAUUCGGCAGAAAGACGGGAAUAGAGUUUUCGAAAGGGGAUGGGGAAAACUAGAUGUAAGAGAACCCAUAAUAGCCUUCGUACUCAUUAGAAAGAUGAAAAUAAGUCUUGUGUUUUAAAAGGGGGAGCGAAAACUGGUCCUUAAUUCGGCACACAGACAGGAGGAGAGUUUUCAAAAGAGAAUUGUAAAAACUAAAUGUAACAGACGGGAAGAUAGUUUUCAAAAGGAAUGAUGAAAAUGAGUCCAGUAUUCUAAAAGGGCCAGCAAAAACUGAUAUUAAUAUUCGGCAGACAGACGGGAAUAGAGUUUUCAAAAGGGAAUAGGGAAAGCUAGAUGGAACAGAGCCCAUAACACUUGCCAACGUAAUCACUAUAUGGAAUGAUGAAAAUGAGUCUAGUAUUCUAAAAGGGUGAGCAAAAACAAAUGAAAACUUAUCUUAAUUACCGUUAGUCAGACAGGAGGAGAGUUUUCAUAGAGUAAUGGGGAAAACUAGGUGUAACAAAGCCCGUAACACUUGCCAGCGUAAUCAGUAUAUGGAAUGAUGAAAAUGAGUCCAGUGUUCUAAAAGGGUGAGCAAAAACUAAUGAAAGCUUAUCUUAAUUACCGUUAGACAGACGGGAAGAUGGUUUUCAAAAGGGAAUGGUAGGAAAUAUAGGUAACAGAACAUUUGUCGGUGUAAUUGCUAAAAUGAUCGAAAUGACUUAUUUUAAAAGGAAUAAAAAGAACUACUACAAUGAAAGAUAGAGAGAAAAAGAUGUUAAGUUACGUUAGAAAGACAAGUGGAAAGUUUUCAUAAGGGAAUGUUAAAAGAAAUAUGGAUAACAAAAUCAUAACAACAGCCAACGUAAUCAUAAAAAAACACCAACAGAUAAAAGAGAAACAUAAACAGUCGACAUCUUAAAGGCAAUUCUAAAUCAGGAAAUUGCAAUGGUCAGGACACGCAUGUAGGAGACAGGACAAGAGAUGAACAAACAGCAAAGGUAAAGUCGAGGGCUUACACUUAAGUUGCGCGUAGCCUCGGUGCUCACCUCCGCCACAGUGACCCUUGAGACUGUGGCGGGAAGUAACCCAUCACCACAUUAGCAAAAAGAGCGAUAACUAGGAAAUUUCUGAUAUGCGAAAAAGACCCAAAGUGGAGGAGGAGGUCGUUCAGGUAGAUUAUGCGGUGGAAUUCAGAACUUUUUUCUUUUUUUUUACUGCUAAGGAGACAGUUCAAGGGCGUAAAAAAAUAUUAUAGAAAAAAAGCCCGCUACUUACUGCUCCUGAAUACACGGAAUACGAAAUACGGAACAUUUACAUCGAAAUUGGACACUAAAGGCACAGAAAACGCUGGGGAGAAGCUGGCGCUGAUAAAGAUGAUGAUGAUGUUGAUGAUAGUGAUGACGAUGACAACAGUAGCAUCAUUCAAAAGGCAAAUCAGUAUCAAUAGUCAAACGCAAUCAUAGAGGUCGGUCGGUCCGUGGCCAAUGUGUGAUGAGCCCUAAUGAGGUGGUGAUGGUGGUGAUAACAAUAGCAUCAUUAAAAAGGGUAAUCCCGUAUCAUUAAUCGUUAUCGGUAAGGCAUAAUAAUGUAUCCCGAAUCAGUGACCAGUGUGUGAUGGAGCGUAAAGAGUUGGAGGGCCGUGAUUUGCUAAUUAUGCCAACGAGUCUGAAUAUGAUUGGUCCUCAAAGCCGGGCUAAUUACAGAGAGAGUCAUUGUUGUUGUUGUCUUUGGAAGCUCACUCGUACAAUGCUCCCAACCGUGAAACUAUGUACAGGGAAGCGAGUUAAUACAAGAGGAGGGUAUCUGGACACCUCUCCUCCCGAAACUGACCUCUCUUUCGGCCACCUCUUUGGAUUCUGUUUAGGAGCAGCGAGUAGCGGGCUUUUUUUUUAUUAUUGUUUCCUUUUUUUGUGCCCCUGAGCUGUCUCCUUUGUUGUAAAAAAAAUGCUAAUGAAAUGGCAGCGUAGAGAGUAAUGUAACAGGCGAGGUGUACAAUAACAAAACGAUAAUGAAAGAACACCAUGACCUGAUAGAACACUAGAAUUUACUAAAGAAUGAAAAGUAUUUGCAACCCUAGACUUUACUUAAUGAAAUCACUACAAUAGCAACACUACAAUAACCAAGGACUAUCAUAUGCAACACUAGAAUUUACUUAAGAAUGAAAUUACUACAAUAGCAACACUACAAUAACUAAGGACUAUCAUUUGCAACACUGGAAUUUACUUAAGAAUGAAAUCACUACAAUAGCAACACUACAAUAACCAAGGAAGAUCAUUUGCAACACUGGAAUUUACUAACGAAGAAGACCUUUUGUAUCACUAGGAUUACGGCCCUUUGCAACACCAGAAUUAACGAACGAACGAACACAACUCUCGAAGGAAGAACUUUUGCAACACAAGAAGUUACGAACGAAGAAACCAUUUACAACAUUAGAGUUUGCUGUACCAUGACGAACAAGAAGAACCUCCAUCAAUAGCCUACUCGUAUUUCUUUUACGAUUCACGAUCUUAAACUUAUCGGCGCUUAUCAUCACGACAGUUUGAAAAGUCGCGUUGAAGUCUUGGGAACUUUCACCGACGAUUUCAUUACCCGAGUGUCAGUUUGGCAAGACCUUGAGGGAAACACAACUAUGGGAUCCUAAUUAACCUUUGUAACCUUUGAAAAUAGUCGUGUUAAGGCGUGGACACGUUUAAAAGCUUGCGUGUCUUAGUCUCAAACGUAAAAAAAAAAAACAAUACAGGAACAUCGAUUAGCGGGCCUUUUUUCUACUCCUUUUUUUGUUGCCUUUGAGCAGAUUCCUUAGCUGUAAAAAUUGAAAUACAGACAGAUUCACACAUCUUCUUCCAUCUCUCCUCCUUAUAAAAAAAGAGAGAAACGUAAAUUUGGGAAAUGAUGCUGGUCUCGUACACGCGGCAAAACUGAACGCUGACCUAAAACUGAGGGUAAGCAGACUAGGUUGCAUCAUGGGCGACAUUUAGCGGCGACAGGAGCUUAGGGCUGAAGGUUAGGGGUAUGGAGAGAUGGAGGGGAGCGUUACAUGACAUUAAAGGUGUGGGUGGGUGGGUGGGGGGGGGUUGUAGUGCUAGAGGGAGAAGGGAAACUGCUGUGUAUGGGAUGUAAGAGGGAGAUGCCUGGAGACUGAGAAAUUUGCAACACUAUAGUAUGCCAACAAACGAAUGCCUUUUGUAUGUAGAGGAGGAAUGAAGGUGUGAGUGUGGGUGGGUGUGGAGGUGUUAGUAGUGCAGGAGGAGAAAGAGAAGAGGGGAUACUGCUGUGACUGAAAGGGAUGAGGGAGAGGCCUGAAGACUCUUGAGAACUUUCCAUCACCAGAAUUCACUAACAGACGAACGAAGGCCUUUUCCAGUGUAAGGGAGGAACAAAGAGGAUGGCAGUGGUGUUAGUGUGGGUGUAGCAAGGCCUGAAGACUAUUACCAGGAAUUGCAAGGCCUGAAGUGUUGUAGCUAGGCCUAGAGGUAGUAAGCUAUUGUAUGGUCCGUGUGCUUUGGAAGGAGGUUGUAUGUCUCCAAGUUCUAAGGCCUAAAGGGUGUGUUGGACCUGUGUGGCUUAAGAAAGGUAUAUAUUUGGGUUUAAGUUAUGUGUUGUAAGUAUGUUUGCCAGGCUGAAGGACGUGGGUGGAGGUUGCAGAUGGGGUUACUAUAUUUAAAAGGUGUGGGGUAUGGUGUCGGGGUGAUAUGGCUUGAGGGAGAUUAGAUUAAGAGUUGUAAGUGGUUUUGCGAGGUCUGAAGGGAGUCUAAGAUGUCUGAAGGUGGUUUUACAAUGUCUAGUAGGGUUUAAAGGUAGGGUUGCAUGCUCUAAAAGAUGUGGGAGUGUGAGGUGCGGCUGUUUGGCUCGAGAAGAGUGUGUGGGUGAGGGGCUGAUGCAGGACAUAAAGGGCAUGUGUGCGUGGGUGUUGUUGUUGCCAGAUUUACACGCGUCCUCUGCUUCAAAUGCCCCCCGCCACUAAACACCCACCUGUUGACUGUCAUAGAAGGGAAUGCGUAUAACAAGAGAAGAUAAUGAGAGAGAGAGAGAGAGAGAGAGAGAGAGAGAGAGAGAGAGAGAGAGAGAGAGAAUGAAACUUCCGCUACAAUGAGAGACACAGAGACACAGAGAGAGAGAGAAAAAGACACAGGGAACUCCUGCUCCACUGAAAGACUACAGUGGUUUUUUUUGCCUCGACUCACACGGAACAAAGAGUAAUUAAUUUUCACACCUGUCCUUUUUGUGUCUGUUUCCUGGUCAUAAACACGUGUCGAUCAUAACACCUGGCUGGACACCCUCCCUCCUGUGAUCACCUUUCUCCUUUACCACGCCAGUAUAACCUCGCCCUUCCUUCGCUCAAUGUGACAAAAGAAAGUUGAAUACUGCGUGAGAGAGGUGUGUGUUUUGCUCUUCUAGAAUGUCUUUGUCUCAUGCAUUAGUUGUCUCUCUUACUAUACAAAAAAAAAAGAAGAAUAAAUAAAAGAGUUCCCCUUCUCUGCAUCUGACCAAAAGGAAGUUCAGCAAUGCAAGAAGGAAUGUGUGUGUGUGUGUGUGUGUGUGUGUGUCUUUGUCUAUGUGUGAAUGUCUUUGUCCCUUGCACUUGUUCUCUCUU